rnacentral:rRNA from 1 species
AAAAAUAGGUCUCAGUUCGGACUGUAGGCUGCAACUCGCCUACACGAAGUUGGAAUUGCUAGUAAUCGUGGAUCAGCAUGCCACGGUGAAUACGUUCCCGGGUCUUGUACACACCGCCCGUCACACCAUGGGAGUCGGUAACACCCGAAGUCAGUAGUCUAACCGCAAGGAGGACGCUGCCGAAGGUGGGAUUGACGACUGGGGUGAAGUCGUAACAAGGUACC